rnacentral:rRNA from 1 species
CUCUUCGAUGUUCUGGGCUGCACGCGCGCUACAGUGGCAAAGACAGGGAGCAUGAAUUAAUUAUAGAGUCGCAUCGAGGGAUGUGACGAAUCAGCAAUCGUUGUCGUGAUUGGGAUUGAGCGUUGUAAUAUUUGCUCAUGAAAGAGGAAUUCCUCGUAAGCGCGAGUCACUAACUCGUGUUAAUUACGUCUCUGCCCUUUGUACACACCGCCCGUCGCUACUACCGAUUGAACUGGUUUUUGAAGUGUAGAGAUUGGCAGGCAUGGUUUACGUGCAUUGCAAAGAACCACUCUGAAAAAAUCGUUCGAGAAGAAGUAAAAGUCGUAACA